rnacentral:rRNA from 1 species
AGUUGAUUAUGGCUCAGGACGAACGCUGGCGGCGUGCCUAACACAUGCAAGUCGAGCGGGGAUGCAGGGAACGGAAGCUACGGCGGAAGGGAGCUGGAUUUCAGCGGCGGACGGGUGAGUAACGCGUGAACAAUCUGUCCCGGACAGGGGGAUAACACUUGGAAACAGGUGCUAAUACCGCAUAAGACCACAGCGCCGCAUGGCGGAGGGUCAAAGGAGAGAUCCGGUUCGGGGUGAGUUCGCGUCUGAUUAGCUAGUUGGUGAGGUAACGGCCCACCAAGGCGACGAUCAGUAGCCGACCUGAGAGGGUGAUCGGCCACAUUGGAACUGAGACACGGUCCAAACUCCUACGGGAGGCAGCAGGUGGGGAAUAUUGGGCAAUGGGCGAAAGCCCUGACCCAGCAACGCCGCGUGAGGGAAGUAAGGUUUUCGGAUUGUAAACCUCUGUUGUGGAUGACGAAGGAAGUGACGGUAAUCCACAAGGAACGCCCCGGCUAACUACGUGCCAGCCGCCGC